rnacentral:rRNA from 1 species
ACUCAAAGGAAUUGACGGGGAGGCGCACAAGCAGUGGAGCGUGUGGUUUAAUUCGAUUCAAAGCGAAGAACCUCACCAGGGUUUGACAUGUAUCUGCAAGCGCACGGAAACGUGUGAUCUUCGAGAGUGAUACACAGAUGCUGCAUGGCCGUCGUCAGCUCGUGGCGUGAGCUGUACCGUUAAGUCGGGUAACGAGCGCAACCCCCAUCAUAUGUUAAAUAAUUCAUAUGAAACUGCCCCUUUUUGGGGAGGAAGGCGGGGAUGAUGUCAGGUCCGCACGGCUCUUACACCCUGGGCAACACACACCCUACAAUGGCGAAAAACAACGAGUCGCAACAUGGUAACAUGAAGCUAAUCUCUGAAAUUUCGCCUCAGUUCAGAUUGAGGUCUGCAACCCGACCUCAUGAAGGAGGAAUUGCUAGUAAUCGCGAAUCAGCAGGUCGCGGUGAAUACGUUCUCGCCUCUUGCACACACCGCCCGU